GAUGAACGCUGGCGGCGUGCCUAAUACAUGCAAGUCGAGCGAACAGACGAGGAGCUUGCUCCUCUGACGUUAGCGGCGGACGGGUGAGUAACACGUGGAUAACCUACCUAUAAAACUGGGAUAACUUCGGGAAACCGGAGCUAAUACCGGAUAAUAUAUUGAACCGCAUGGUUCAAUAGUGAAAGACGGUUUUGCUGUCACUUAUAGAUGGAUCCGCGCCGCAUUAGCUAGUUGGUAAGGUAACGGCUUACCAAGGCAACGAUGCGUAGCCGACCCGAGAGGGUGAUCGGCCACACUGGAACUGAGACACGGUCCAGACUCCUACGGGAGGCAGCAGUAGGGAAUCUUCCGCAAUGGGCGAAAGCCUGACGGAGCAACGCCGCGUGAGUGAUGAAGGUCUUCGGAUCGUAAAACUCUGUUAUUAGGGAAGAACAAAUGUGUAAGUAACUAUGCACGUCUUGACGGUACCUAAUCAGAAAGCCACGGCUAACUACGUG
rnacentral:rRNA from 1 species